rnacentral:rRNA from 1 species
GACGAACGCUGGCGGCGUGCCUAAUACAUGCAAGUUGAGCGCUGAAGGUUGGUACUUGUACCAACUGGAUGAGCAGCGAACGGGUGAGUAACGCGUGGGGAAUCUGCCUUUGAGCGGGGGACAACAUUUGGAAACGAAUGCUAAUACCGCAUAAAAACUUUAAACACAAGUUUUAAGUUUGAAAGAUGCAAUUGCAUCACUCAAAGAUGAUCCCGCGUUGUAUUAGCUAGUUGGUGAGGUAAAGGCUCACCAAGGCGAUGAUACAUAGCCGACCUGAGAGGGUGAUCGGCCACAUAGGGACUGAGACACGGCCCAAACGCCUACGGGAGGCAGCAGUAGGGAAUCUUCGGCAAUGGACGAAAGUCUGACCGAGCAACGCCGCGUGAGUGAAGAAGGUUUUCGGAUCGUAAAAAUCUGUUGAUAGAGAAGAACGUUGGUGAGAGUGGAAAGCUCAUCAAGUGACGGUAACUACCCAGAAAGGGACGGCUAACUACGUG